rnacentral:rRNA from 1 species
AUGAACGCUGGCGGCGUGCCUCAUACCUGCAAGUCGAGCGAACAGACGAGGAGCUUGCUCCUCUGACGUUAGCGGCGGACGGGUGAGUAACACGUGGAUAACCUACCUAUAAGACUGGGAUAACUUCGGGAAACCGGAGCUAAUACCGGAUAAUAUAUUGAACCGCAUGGUUCAAUAGUGAAAGACGGUUUUGCUGUCACUUAUAGAUGGAUCCGCGCCGCAUUAGCUAGUUGGUAAGGUAACGGCUUACCAAGGCGACGAUGCGUAGCCGACCUGAGAGGGUGAUCGGCCACACUGGAACUGAGACACGGUCCAGACUCCUACGGGAGGCAGCAGUAGGGAAUCUUCCGCAAUGGGCGAAGGCCUGACGGAGCAACGCCGCGUGAGUGAUGAAGGUCUUCGGAUCGUAAAACUCUGUUAUUAGGGAAGAACAAAUGUGUAAGUAACUAUGCACGUCUUGACGGUACCUAAUCAGAAAGCCACGGCUAACUACGUG